rnacentral:lncRNA from 1 species
GUCAAAGAGGAAACCUAAUGAAACUCAAAAAGAUCCUCCCUCCAUCAUUUUCAGCUCCUUUGGAUUGGUCAUUGUGUCUUUGAAACAGUCUCCUUCACUGGAUUAUUUAGGAAUAUGGCUACACUUUGACCAUAUUUUCUUUUUUAUUGAAAUACGAGGCAUAUACCAUACAAUUGAUCUUUCUUAUGUUGUUAUUUGUAAGAUGGAACCUCAACUACUUUUGAAAUAAAGCAACAAGAACCUUCCAACUAAUGUUUAUACUUGGUAGUGGUGGUGUUUAGUCACUAAGUCAUGUUUGGAACUUUAGCGACCCCCUGGACUGUAGCCCACCAGGCUCCUCUGUCCAUAGGAUGCUGUACAGUUUGAUACCAUCUGACCACGGU